rnacentral:rRNA from 1 species
AGUGAACGCUGGCGGUAGGCCUAACACAUGCAAGUCGAACGGCAGCACAGUAAGAGCUUGCUCUUACGGGUGGCGAGUGGCGUACGGGUGAGGAAUACAUCGGAAUCUACUUUUUCGUGGGGGAUAACGUAGGUAAACUUACUCUAAUAUCGCAUACGACCUACGGGUGUAAGCAGGGGAUCGUCGGACCUUGCGCGAUUGAAUGAGCCGAUGUCGGAUUAGCUAGUUGGCGGGGUAAAGGCCCACCAAGGCGACGAUCCGUAGCUGGUCUGAGUGGAUGGUCAGCCACACUGGAACUGAGACACGGUCCAGAGUCCUACGGGAGGCAGCAGUGGGGAAUAUUGGACAAAGGGGGCGAGCCUGAUACAGCCAUACCGCGUGGGUGAAGAAGGCCUUCGGGUUGUAAAGACCUUUUGUUGGGAAAGAAACGCAGCAGGUUAAUACCCCGCUGUUCUGACGGUACCCAAAGAAUAAGCACCGGCUAACUUCGUG